AGUCAGACAGCUGGGUCAAAUGGUGGUUCCAUUCCCAGUUUUCUGAGGAAUCUCCAUAUUGCUUUCCAUAGUGGUUGCACCAAUUUGUAGUCCCACCAGCAAU
rnacentral:pre_miRNA from 1 species